rnacentral:lncRNA from 1 species
UGCAAAGCCAGUUUUUACCGACUUAACUAACGAUUUAACUAGGUUCGCAAAGAACAUAAGGAAAAAAAACAAAAGGAACAGGGGGGAAGAGGAGGAAGUAAGGGAUUUAGGCCAUUAGCCCAAACCAACAAAACCUGGCCUAGUCUAGUUGAGCCUUCGACCCAUUUCACCUGUCCUAAUUUAGUUUUUGAACCUUUGGCUCGAAUCUUGCUCCACCUGUAUUAAAUACAACUUUGGCUUCGAGGCCCAAAUAAAUAAUGAACUAAAAAUGAAUAAAUAAACAAAUAAAGGCAACAAUAAAUCAAUAAGUAAGUAAAUAGAGACUUUCUAGUCUCUUUCCGCUUCAAAAAUGGGAUCUUAACUCAUUCUUCUUCUUUCGACGCCUUGUAUCCAUGCGCUAUUCACCCGGCUUUGGGAUUUCUUUCGGCUUGACUCAAAAAGAAGGGUCGUAUUGGCCCAUUAUGAGAUACAAGGGAAAGGAGCCCAUUUGGACUCCAAGGUGGGUUAAUGUAAAGAAAAUAUAAAGAAAAUUAAUAUGUAUUCUAAAUUUGCAACUAACACAUAGGACGUAAAAUGAUUCAUGUAUGGAAAGAGAUAUUUACCAACCAAAGAAAAUAAGAGAUAAAUUAUCAUCAAUCAAAAGUUGGCCAUCUAAAUUAAUCGUUGAACACUUGAACAAUUAACAAUAAAGCAUCAUGACAUGAAAUUUGCUCGAAAAGAAAAAAAAAGAAACUAAUCACAGUUAAAAGGACACAACAGCAAGAAAAUAACAAAAUAGGACUGUUGUUCAAAAAGUAGAGAUUGGGGAUCAUUUCUAUUAACCCAAAUAGUCCCCAAAUUCAAGGUCAAUCAGACGGUCUGUUUGCCACCCUCUUAAGAGUAUCCUAUUGCCAGAUAAACAUAAGGAUAUUACAUUGACCUGGGGCUACUAAGUCUCAAUUCUCCUAUUUAAACUCUCGUUGCAGCAGACAUUUAUGAUCCAUCUAAACCAUAAAUUUUAAGUAAAGCUUUUUGCCAAAUAAAUUAUCUAGUUUUAGCAUAAUCAAAUAGCCAUUCAAGAAAUACUCGUAAGUUACAAACAUUAGGCUGAAAAUAUGUGAUAUGUUAAAUCAAAUAGUAAUAAAACUUGAACAAGAUAACGAGCGCAAACCAACGGAAACAUUUAGAUAAUCUAGAAAAGGGGAAAGAAAAAAAAUAAUCCAUUUGAGUAAACAAUAUUCACAGAUGAAAAAUUGUGACUACAAAGAAUAUCAAUGGAUUUUAUGACAUCUAUGCAAGAUGAACAUCAACAUAAAAAUCGAUAUUACGACAUUAAGAAAAUAUUAACACAUCGAUGGUGAUCUUUUAAACAAAACAAAGAAUCUAUGUGACAUAUCCUUUAUCCUUCCUUGAUAUUUUUAGCCAUUAGGAACAUUUAGGAAUGAUCUUACUCAACCACGAAAAUCGAAGGACAAACACGUAGACUACUAAAAUACAAAACAUGAGACUGAUGUAUUGAGCUUAAAACCAAACCGAAGAAUAAUAAAUUAAAGGAAAACUUUACAUUCGAAUCUCAUUGAGCAAAAUCAAUACUAAAUUAACAUUCUAAACCUUAACAUGAACAUUAUUAAGUCAUACAAUGAACCCAACCAUCAACAACAGGAAGGCGGGACAUCCACAACACAGUAUACGCUAACAGAGAAGUUAAUGGCUGACUAACAACCUUAAUACAAAAUGAGCGACUCCAGACAGACGAGAAUAACUACGGGAUCAAUAAUGGAGCAGAUUUUUCACAUCAUACCAGCAGAAUAACAAUACCACAACAAUUUCAAAACAAGUUCUACGGCCUUCACAGCCUCUACAAUACACAAUCCCAGCCUCAUUCACGACUAUAAUUAAACGACCAACCAAUUCUAUGGAGAAAAGGGAUGAAGGAUAAAAUGAUGACAUUAAAGAGGCGAGAGUGUGUUUACCUCUUGAGGAGCAGCAAAACAAAAUUACGAGUUGACGCCGGAUUUCACCACCACCGGAGAUGCGUUGUAGCCAACUUCGAAACUUCGAUUAGCAAACCAAUUUUUGGAAAAAAAAUUUGCACUAAGAAGAAAGAUUGAAUUUUUGCUCACAAGUUUUCCCUUCCUCUUUUCUAUCUUUCAGUUUUUUCACCCUCAGAAAUUUCUCAGAAAAUGUCUCUACCCACAGCUUUCCACAACCCCAAUUUUUGAACCCUCGAUUUUCAAAGCCAAAAUAAAUCCUAAAAUUAGUGAACCCACAGAGAAAAUUUUGUCCCCCCUUUCACUACCUAAUAUAGCCCUUUUAUAGAGAAAUCGGCUAGGGCUUCUUUUGGGGGUAUGUUAGGGAUUUUCGAUGGAGAUAUUUUGUUAUUCAAAAAUUAAAAUCCCCCAAGCUCCCUCUUUCAACCCCAGUUAGCACCAAAUCUUGGACUCUUUUAAAAAGAUUAAGAAUCGGGGACCAAUCGGUUUUGAGAAAAACAAAUUGUCCUCAAGAACCAAUGAGAUUCGUCCAAAAAUAUACGAAAUUGUACUAUUGUUACCGAGAUUUAUGGGAUUGAUCCGUUGGGGGGAGAUAGCUCAUCCGAUCUUAGAAACUUCGAGGGUUUUCUCGCAUAAAUUCACGCGUGACGGAGUGAGUUGAGUUCAAUUAUUGUCGGGUCGAGGUUGUUCUGACGGAUACGGGUUAAUGGGUCAAUUUGGAUGGAUUUUGGUCGUUGAGUUGAGAGGCUUAUCCUAUUUCU